GGGUCAGUAGGUUGGUCGUGCCACCGGUACGUACUGGUCUCACUGAUUCCUCCUUCCUGAAGAACCGUAAUGCCAUUAAUUUGGUGUUGCGGGGAAACAGGACUGUUACUUUGAAAAAAUUAGAGUGUUUAAAGCAAGCUAACGCUUGAAUACAUUAGCAUGGAAUAAUGAAAUAGGGCGAUCGAUCCUAUCUUGUUGGUUUCUAGGAUUGACGUA
rnacentral:rRNA from 1 species